GACGAAUGCUGGCUGCGUGCUUAACACAUGCAAGUCGAACGGUGAAAGGGAGCUUGCUCCCUGGAUCAGUGGCGAACGGGUGAGUAACACGUGGGCAACCUGCCCCUCACUCUGGGAUAACUCCGGGAAACCGGGGCUAAUACCGGAUACGACCUGGUGCGACAUCGCACCGGGUGGAAAGAACUUCGGUGAGGGAUGGGCCCGCGGCCUAUCAGCUUGUUGGGGGGGUAACGGCCCGCGAAGGCGACGACGGGUAGCCGGCCUGAGAGGGCGACCGGCCACACUGGGACUGAGACACGGCCCAGACUCCUACGGGAGGCAGCAGUGGGGAAUAUUGCGCAAUGGGCGAAAGCCUGACGCAGCGACGCAGCGUGAGGGACGAAGGCCUUCGGGUUGUAAACCUCUUUCAGCGGGGACGAAGCGAAAGUGACGGUACCCGCAGAAGAAGCACCGGCUAACUACGUGCCAGCAGCCGCCGUAAGAC
rnacentral:rRNA from 1 species